rnacentral:rRNA from 1 species
GAUGAACGCUGGCGGUAUGCUUAACACAUGCAAGUCGAACGGACUCUUCGGAGUUAGUGGCGGACGGGUGAGUAACGCGUGAGAAUCUGGCUUUGGGUUCGGGACAACCACUGGAAACGGUGGCUAAUACCGGAUGUGCCGAGAGGUAAAAGAGAAAUUGCCUGAAGAUGAGCUCGCAUCUGAUUAGCUAGUUGGUGAGGUAAAGGCUCACCAAGGCAGCGAUCAGUAGCUGGUCUGAGAGGAUGACCAGCCACACUGGGACUGAGACACGGCCCAGACUCCUACGGGAGGCAGCAGUGGGGAAUUUUCCGCAAUGGGCGAAAGCCUGACGGAGCAAUACCGCGUGAGGGAAGAAGGCUCUUGGGUUGUAAACCUCUUUUCUUAGGGAAGAACAAAAUGACGGUACCUAAGGAAUCAGCAUCGGCUAACUCCGUG